rnacentral:rRNA from 1 species
UUCAAGGAUGAAAGACGGUUUCGGCUGUCACUUACAGAUGGACCCGCGGCGCAUUAGCUAGUUGGUGGGGUAAUGGCUCACCAAGGCGACGAUGCGUAGCCGACCUGAGAGGGUGAUCGGCCACACUGGGACUGAGACACGGCCCAGACUCCUACGGGAGGCAGCAGUAGGGAAUCUUCCGCAAUGGACGAAAGUCUGACGGAGCAACGCCGCGUGAGUGAUGAAGGUUUUCGGAUCGUAAAGCUCUGUUGUUAGGGAAGAACAAGUGCGAGAGUAACUGCUCGCACCUUGACGGUACCUAACCAGAAAGCCACGGCUAACUACGUGCCAGCAGCCGCGGUAAUUCGUAGGUGGCAAGCGUUGUCCGGAAUUAUUGGGCGUAAAGGGCUCGCAGGCGGUUUCUUAAGUCUGAUGUGAAAGCCCCCGGCUCAACCGGGGAGGGUCAUUGGAAACUGGGAAACUUGAGUGCAGAAGAGGAGAGUGGAAUUCCACGUGUAGCGGUGAAAUGCGUAGAGAUGUGGAGGAACACCAGUGGCGAAGGCGACUCUCUGGUCUGUAACUGACGCUGA